rnacentral:lncRNA from 1 species
GAAGAGCCACAGAGAACACGAGAAGCAAUCUGUAGAAUUCAUUGUCUUUUAAAUUUGGAUAUCAUUCAUUUUCACACACAUGCUUAGGAAAUGGAGUAUCCAUAUGUCAUUUGGAUGCACAUGAUUGGUGUUUAUACUUAUGAAACUGUAUCUGUGUAAGGUACUAGGGUCUCUUAUAAAGUCCAAAAAAAAAAAAAAAAUCGUGUGUGGAGCUGUCCACUUUAUAGAUCCCAAGGACACCUCUGAUCCCUGGUUAGCCAUCCAUUCACCCAUGCCGCUAGUGUUCUGAGAGCUUCUGGGAUUGCCUAAAAGAGUCUAACCACAUGCUGCAUUUAGAUGCUGAAUUGUAAGUGCACUCUACCUAAAACCCUACUUUACUUUCCAAUUACAUAUAACAAUACAUUCCAUGCCCAGGCCACUCUGAUCUGGCCCCUGACACAGCUUCCACCACCUCUCCUGUCACUCUCCCUCCUAAUCACACUCCUUCUUGGCUUCCCAGGACUUCUUUCUGUUCCUAGAGCACCAAUCUCAUUUCCUCAGGGCUGUCGUACUCUCUGUUCCCUCUACCUGGACUGUACGUCUCCCUCCGCAAAGUUGGCUGUUUCUUGACAUUUACUGAGUUCUCUGCCCAAGUGUCCCAACCUCCAAGAAACCUUUCCUAACUCCCUCAUCAAAUGCCACUCCCUCUCCAUCACUUCAUCACAUGACUGCUUUAUUUUUCUUGAAACACUUAACACUGUGAGAGCUAACCUCUGUUUAUUGACUCGCUAUCUGCCUCUCUCCAAGGCACAGGGAGAGCUCAUGGUAGCAGGGACAUUGCUGGGUGUUGUUCCAGGCCCUAAGUCAGCCUCGAGAAGCCUCGAAGGGAGGGAUGGCUGGCUCUGAAUGAGUGGACUCAGUGACCCCUCACGCCCUGACUGCAAAGUGAGCUUUGUGGGUUUAUGUUUUGUUUUGUUUUAGGGCUGCACCUGCAGCAUAUGCAAGUUCCCAGACGAGGGGUCAUCCUGCUGGAUGUACAUCACCUGCUUUUGGACAAAUCAAAAAGUACAAUCCUAUUACUGCAGAGACUUUUGUGCAGCUGCCUGCUUGCUUCCACCUUUGUCCCUUUGGAACUUGCUCUCUCUGCUGGCCAUGCUCCUGUCUCCUCUAAAGUGGAUGUGCAGCUCCUGCCUAAGGAAGCUCUUCUCAUCAGCCUCUCCCUCCCGCCUCCACGCUCCCUCCUCUGCACGCCUUGGGUGCUGGCACAUUCACAGGCCUCUGUGUGUGAAUUUGCACUUGCUGAUAUCCUUUUCUAGAAAAGUUACUUUCUCCUUUGAUGUGUGAGGUGUCAGGGCGGGACAGGCAAAGCUACUUUGCAAUCAUAUUUUCAGUUACUUGAAAGUCAACAUUUGUGAUUUCCCCUUUUUCAACAGUUUUCUUACACUAUUAACUGGUAUUAGACGCCACCUGGGUCUUCUAUUCAAGGGGCCUGCUGUCAUCUUCAGAAAGGUAGUUCGUUGCCUGAGAGAAACAACAGAUGUGUUUGUCUACUGCCUGAAAUUUAAAACACCCAAUAUGAGUGUCUCCAAUCAGAAUGGUCUCACCCUUUCCAAUAAGGACACCGUGUCCACGGUCCUUGGCAGGGGGACACAGUGAAGGGCACUUGCUCCCGUGAAUCACGUGGUGGGACUUUGUUGGUCCCUGCUGACCUCCUGGCCGGGACAGACCCUGGGAACCCAUCCAGCUCUGCGGCAGAGCCAACGGGUAACGAGGUUACUCAUCUCAGGCUUUCUCCUGCCUCUGGGAGGCAACAGAGCUCACCCACCCGCGUCAAAUUGAGAGCUUUUACAAGCGCCGCACACACACUUUCUCUUCGGUGUUGCCAAAGAGCAAACCACCGUGUGCCGUGUGAAGUGACAACAUGGGAAGUCAGUUGUGGGGCCCACCCAACGGGGCAGCUCAGUUCUCUCUCCCAGCCUCAGAGGCCAGCCCUCCUCCCUGUGGUUUCCAUGGAACCCAAACGUUUGUGUGGGCUUAGUCAUCUCCAGGAGAAGCAGGUCCUGGGGGGGACGGCCUCAUCCUUCACUGGUGCCAGGGGCUGAACCCAGUGACUUCCUACUGUGGGCAUCGCUCUCCCAAUCCUCAAUCUGCUUUUCUGAACCUUCAGGUUUCAUAACUCGGUCUGACUCAGAGUGAGGUGUUACUUAAUGGUGUGAUAAAAGCAUAUUUUACCAUGUGUACACCUGUGGGAUUUUGAACGCCAAAAAAGCAGGAAAGGAGAAAGAGCAGGGAUUUUGAACUCCAAAAAAGCAGGAAAAGGAGAAAGAGCAGGGACUGGUGAAACUCUGCACAUCAUUUUCAUUUCUCACCGCCCCUGUUUCUGAUUCCCAAGCAUUUCUUUCUUCUGCUGCUUUCUUCUCACUGAGUCCUCACUGCUCAAACAGAAAACAGACAAGGAAAAGAACCAAUGAUUAAGGUUCCCUUCCUGGGGGUGCCAACCAGUAGCUCCCAUCUAGGCCCUCACCAGGGAUUGGGGGGGGGGUCUGUGCAUGUGCGUGUGCGUGUGUGUGUGCAAGAAGCAGGCCUGUGGCAUGGGGAGGGUAUGAAAAAGACUCAAAAAUUCAAUCUCCAAAGAGGAAUUUUAAGAGAGUCCCCGCUAAAGAAUUCUACUACAAGAUUUCGAGUUGUGGUUCAGUGGCUUAUGAACCUGUCUAGUAUCCAUGAGGAUGUGGGGGUUCGAUCCCUGGCCUCACUCAGUGGGUCAGGGAUCUGGUGUUGCCAUGAGCUGCGAUGCAGGUCACAGACUCGGCUUGGAUCUGGCGUUGCUGUGGCUGUGGUGUAGGCCUCAGCUGCAGCUCCAAUUUGACCCCUACCCUGGAAACUUCCAUUUGCCAUAGGUACAGCCCUAAAAAGCA